AAGAUUAAUAAAAUUAGGCUUCUAACCUAAAUUUAAUGAAAUUUCAUUUAAUCUUUAUUUA
rnacentral:tRNA from 1 species